rnacentral:rRNA from 1 species
CCUACGGGUGGCAGCAGUGAGGAAUAUUGGUCAAUGGACGAGAGUCUGAACCAGCCAAGUAGCGUGAAGGAUGACUGCCCUAUGGGUUGUAAACUUCUUUUAUAUGGGAAUAAAAUGUUCCACGUGUGGGAUUUUGUAUGUACCAUAUGAAUAAGGAUCGGCUAACUCCGUGCCAGCAGCCGCGGUAAUACGGAGGAUCCGAGCGUUAUCCGGAUUUAUUGGGUUUAAAGGGAGCGUAGGUGGAUUGUUAAGUCAGUUGUGAAAGUUUGCGGCUCAACCGUAAAAUUGCAGUUGAAACUGGCAGUCUUGAGUACAGUAGAGGUGGGCAGAAUUCGUGGUGUAGCGGUGAAAUGCUUAGAUAUCACGAAGAACUCCGAUUGCGAAGGCAGUUCACUGGACUGCAACUGACACUGAGGCUCGAAAGUGUGGGUAUCAAACAGGAUUAGAUACCCUUGUAGUC